rnacentral:tRNA from 1 species
GAGGGUAUAGCUCAGUGGUAGAGCACAUGCUUAACAUGCAUGAGGUCCUGGGUUCAGUCCCCAGUACCUCUG